AUUGAACGCUGGCGGCAGGCCUAACACAUGCAAGUCGAGCGGAUGAAGGGAGCUUGCUCCUGGAUUCAGCGGCGGACGGGUGAGUAAUGCCUAGGAAUCUGCCUGGUAGUGGGGGAUAACGUCCGGAAACGGGCGCUAAUACCGCAUCCGUCCUGAGGGAGAAAGUGGGGGAUCUUCGGACCUCACGCUAUCAGAUGAGCAUAGGUCGGAUUAGCUAGUUGGUGGGGUAAAGGCCUACCAAGGCGACGAUCCGUAACUGGUCUGAGAGGAUGAUCAGUCACACUGGAACUGAGACACGGUCCAGACUCCUACGGGAGGCAGCAGUGGGGAAUAUUGGACAAUGGGCGAAAGCCUGAUCCAGCCAUGCCGCGUGUGUGAAGAAGGUCUUCGGAUUGUAAAGCACUUUAAGUUGGGAGGAAGGGCAGUAAGUUAAUACCUUGCUGUUUUGACGUUACCAACAGAAUAAGCACCGGCUAACUUCGUG
rnacentral:rRNA from 1 species